rnacentral:rRNA from 1 species
CUAGACGACUUCAGAGUUUGAUCCUGGCUCAGGACGAACGCUGGCGGCAUGCCUAACACAUGCAAGUCGAACGGAGAUAAGCGCUGAUGAAGCUUCGGCAGAUUCUUGCUUAUCUUAGUGGCGGACGGGCGAGUAACGCGUGAGCAACCUGCCCUUCAGUGGGGGGACAACAGUUGGAAACGACUGCUAAUACCGCAUAAUGUCACGAGGCCGCAUGACCUUGUGACCAAAGGAUUUAUUCGCUGAAGGAUGGGCUCGCGUCCGAUUAGGUAGUUGGUGAGGUAACGGCUCACCAAGCCGACGAUCGGUAGCCGAACUGAGAGGUUGAUCGGCCGCAUUGGGACUGAGACACGGCCCAG